rnacentral:ncRNA from 1 species
UCUUAGUAACCUUUAAAAUUGUUAUUUCAUCACGAAGGCCCACUGUGAGUGUUGACACAAUGUGAUUUCUGCUCAGUGCUCUGAAUGUCAAAGUGAAGAAAUUCAAUGAAGCUCGGGUAAACAGUGGGAGUAAGUAUGACUCUCUUAAGAUAGCCAAAUGCCUUGUCAUCUAAUUACUGAUGCUCAUGAAUGGAUGAAUGAGA